rnacentral:rRNA from 1 species
UACAGGGGGUGCAAACGUUGCUCGGAAUCAUUGGGCGUAAAGCGCACGUAGGCGGAUCGUUAUGUCGGAUGUGAAAGCCCUUGGCUUAACCGAGGAAGUGCAUCCGAAACUGGCGAGCUAGAGUACGAAAGAGGAUCGCGGAAUUCCCGGUGUAGAGGUGAAAUUCGUAGAUAUCGGGAGGAACACCAGUGGCGAAGGCGGCUACCUGGACCAGCACUGACACUGAGGCACGAAAGCGUGGGGAGCAAACAGG